rnacentral:rRNA from 1 species
UACGUAGGGGGCAAGCGUUGUUCGGAUUCAUUGGGCGUAAAGAGCGUGUAGGCGGUCCGGUAAGUCCGCUGUGAAAGUCGGGGGCUCAACCCUCGAAUGCCGGUGGAUACUGUCGGGCUAGAGUGCGGAAGAGGCGAGUGGAAUUCCUGGUGUAGCGGUGAAAUGCGCAGAUAUCAGGGGGAACACCUAUUGCGAAGGCAGCUCGCUGGGACGUAACUGACGCUGAGACGCGAAAGCGUGGGGAGCAAACAGG